CUUAUAAAAUCUUCAAUGUUAAUCAUAUUAAACUUUAUGGAUAGAAUCAAAAGAAAAUACCAUUAUGCUUGAUUUAUUCAAAUCAACUAUUGACUGUCCCCCUUGGUUGGCAAAACAACAAUACAAUAUUCAUCACCAGUGUCCAAUUGUGACUGCUCUCAUUAAAACAAAUAUAUAUCAAAUGAUGACUGCUCUGGACAUGAUGACUUUGUGUAUCACUGUAUCCAAAGCAGUCAGUGAUUGGACUUACAAGGGAACAUCGCACCCAAUGUGUCUGGGAUUUUGGCGAUGUUUUGUCAUCUGAAAGAGCGUGGGCAGUGGAUGGGGAAUCAUCCCUAUAUUGGGG
rnacentral:lncRNA from 1 species